UACGUAGGGGGCAAGCGUUGUCCGGAAUCAUUUGGCGUAAAGCGCGUGUAGGCGGCCAGAUACGUCCGUUCUGAAAGCCCGGGGCUCAACCCCGGGAGGCGGAUGGAUACUGUUUGGCUCGAGUCCGGAAGAGGCGAGUGGAAUUCCCGGUGUAGCGGUGAAAUGCGCAGAUAUCGGGAGGAACACCAAUGGCGAAGGCAGCUCGCUGGGACGGUACUGACGCUGAGACGCGAAAGCGUGGGGAGCAAACAGG
rnacentral:rRNA from 1 species